rnacentral:rRNA from 1 species
UACGGAGGGUGCAAGCGUUGUCCGGAUUUAUUGGGUUUAAAGGGUGCGUAGGCGGUUCUUUAAGUCUGGGGUGAAAGCCCGUUGCUCAACAACGGAACUGCCCUGGAAACUGGAGGACUUGAGUACGGACGAGGGUGGCGGAAUGGAUGGUGUAGCGGUGAAAUGCAUAGAUACCAUCCAGAACCCCGAUUGCGAAGGCAGCUGCCUAGACUGUAACUGACGCUGAGGCACGAAAGCGUGGGGAGCGAACAGG